CUUUCUCCCAAAUUUCUUCUGCAUAGUAGUGUAGAGAUCAGUUUCCACUGGAAUAACUUCUAGGUAUGCAAUUGUUACUCGAGACAACUUGUCUGCUUUUAGCGUACUUGGACAUAAAGUUACCAUCUCAUCACAAUCUAUCACUGAUAAUUUUUGUAAGGAUGGAAAACUUAAACUUCCCCUGUAGAACCAUCGGAGACUCAAUAACGUAUCAAGUUUUAAACAACUGAGCUCCGAAAAUAUUAUCUCAUCCUCAUCUGAUUCCUCCCUUUCUUUAGAUACUAUUUCUUCAAUUGAUUUACACUCUUUUAUCUUCAUUCUUUGAAGUUGACCCAAACUUUUGGCUGUUGAGGAUGUGAACAAAUAUGAUAAGCCAUCACAAUUUUCUACUUUUAAACAUGUCAGAUUUGAGAAAGACACUCUGCAUGUUACCAAGUUUUUUAAACUGGAACAGGUAAUGACUUCAAAAUUUUCUAGAUUUUCGAGAAAGGGCUCAGUCCAUGAGUUUUCUAAUCCAAUGGAAACUAACCCUUCAAGGGACUCCAACCGUAAUUCAUUCAGCUGUAAUAGAAGUUCAUUAUUACUAGGUCUUUGAUGACAGAAGAUCACCUUGAAUGAACUAUUCC
rnacentral:lncRNA from 1 species